rnacentral:rRNA from 1 species
CGGACGGGUGAGUAACGCGUGGGUAACCUGCCUCACACUGGGGGACAACAGUUAGAAAUGACUGCUAAUACCGCAUAAGCGCACAGGAUCGCAUGGUCCGGUGUGAAAAACUCCGGUGGUGUGAGAUGGACCCGCGUUUGAUUAGCUAGUUGGUGGGGUAACGGCCUACCAAGGCGACGAUCAAUAGCCGACCUGAGAGGGUGACCGGCCACAUUGGGACUGAGACACGGCCCAA